AGUGGUAGAUCUGUAGGGUCUGGAUAGGUAUAAACAGUAUAGUGGUGGGGUCUGGAUAGGUAUAAACAGUAUAGUGGUGGGGUCUGGAUAGGUAUAAACAGUAUAGUGGUGGGGUCUGGAUAGGUAUAAACAGUAUAGUGGUGGGGUCUGGAUAGGUAUAAACAGUAUAGUGGUAGAUCUGUAGGGUCUGGAUAGGUAUAAACAGUAUAGUGGUGGGGUCUGGAUAGGUAUAAACAGUAUAGUGGUGGGGUCUGGAUAGGUAUAAACAGUAUAGUGGUGGAUCUGUAGGGUCUGGAUAGGUAUAAACAGUAUAGUAGUGUAUCUGUAGGGUCUGGAUAGGUAUAAACAGUAUAGUAGUGUAUCUGUAGGGUCUGGAUAGGUAUAAACAGUAUAGUGGUGGGGUCUGGAUAGGUAUAAACAGUAUAGUGGUGGAUCUGUGGGGUCUGGAUAGGUAUAAACAGUAUAGUGGUGGAUCUGUAGGGUCUGGAUAGGUAUAAACAGUAUAGUGGUGGGGUCUGGAUAGGUAUAAACAGUAUAGUAGUGUAUCUGUAGGGUCUGGAUAGGUAUAAACAGUAUAGUGGUGGGGUCUGGAUAGGUAUAAACAGUAUAGUGGUGGAUCUGUAGGGUCUGGAUAGGUAUAAACAGUAUAGUGGUGGAUCUGUAGGGUCUGGAUAGGUAUAAACAGUAUAGUAGUGUAUCUGUAGGGUCUGGAUAGGUAUAAACAGUAUAGUGGUGGAUCUGUAGGGUCUGGAUAGGUAUAAACAGUAUAGUAGUGUAUCUGUAGGGUCUGGAUAGGUAUAAACAGUAUAGUAGUGUAUCUGUAGGGUCUGGAUAGGUAUAAACAGUAUAGUGGUGGAUCUGUAGGGUCUGGAUAGGUAUAAACAGUAUAGUAGUGUAUCUGUAGGGUCUGGAUAGGUAUAAACAGUAUAGUGGUGGGGUCUGGAUAGGUAUAAACAGUAUAGUAGUGUAUCUGUAGGGUCUGGAUAGGUAUAAACAGUAUAGUAGUGUAUCUGUAGGGUCUGGAUAGGUAUAAACAGUAUAGUGGUGGAUCUGUAGGGUCUGGAUAGGUAUAAACAGUAUAGUGGUGGAUCUGUAGGGUCUGGAUAGGUAUAAACAGUAUAGUGGUGGGGUCUGGAUAGGUAUAAACAGUAUAGUAGUGUAUCUGUAGGGUCUGGAUAGGUAUAAACAGUAUAGUGGUGGAUCUGUAGGGUCUGGAUAGGUAUAAACAGUAUAGUAGUGUAUCUGUAGGGUCUGGAUAGGUAUAAACAGUAUAGUAGUGUAUCUGUAGGGUCUGGAUAGGUAUAAACAGUAUAGUGGUGGGGUCUGGAUAGGUAUAAACAGUAUAGUAGUGUAUCUGUAGGGUCUGGAUAGGUAUAAACAGUAUAGUGGUGGGGUCUGGAUAGGUAUAAACAGUAUAGUAGUGUAUCUGUAGGGUCUGGAUAGGUAUAAACAGUAUAGUGGUGGAUCUGUAGGGUCUGGAUAGGUAUAAACAGUAUAGUAGUGUAUCUGUAGGGUCUGGAUAGGUAUAAACAGUAUAGUGGUGGGGUCUGGAUAGGUAUAAACAGUAUAGUAGUGUAUCUGUAGGGUCUGGAUAGGUAUAAACAGUAUAGUGGUAGGGUCUGGAUAGGUAUAAACAGUAUAGUGGUGGAUCUGUAGGGUCUGGAUAGGUAUAAACAGUAUAGUGGUGGAUCUGUAGGGUCUGGAUAGGUAUAAACAGUAUAGUGGUGGGGUCUGGAUAGGUAUAAACAGUAUAGUGGUGGAUCUGUAGGGUCUGGAUAGGUAUAAACAGUAUAGUGGUGGAUCUGUAGGGUCUGGAUAGGUAUAAACAGUAUAGUGGUGGGGUCUGGAUAGGUAUAAACAGUAUAGUGGUGGAUCUGUAGGGUCUGGAUAGGUAUAAACAGUAUAGUGGUGGAUCUGUAGGGUCUGGAUAGGUAUAAACAGUAUAGUGGUGGGGUCUGGAUAGGUAUAAACAGUAUAGUAGUGGGGUCUGGAUAGGUAUAAACAGUAUAGUAGUGGGGUCUGGAUAGGUAUAAACAGUAUAGUGGUGGGGUCUGGAUAGGUAUAAACAGUAUAGUAGUGGGGUCUGGAUAGGUAUAAACAGUAUAGUGGUGGGGUCUGGAUAGGUAUAAACAGUAUAGUGGUGGGGUCUGGAUAGGUAUAAACAGUAUAGUAGUGGGGUCUGGAUAGGUAUAAACAGUAUAGUAGUGGGGUCUGGAUAGGUAUAAACAGUAUAGUGGUGGAGCUGUAUUGAUUCCACCAUACAGAUUGUACAACAUUAAAAGAGUUUAGGGCCAAGGAGACGGGUAAGGAUAGAUCCUAAUCAAAUCCAUAGCAACACAGAGGGCAGCUGAGUGCACAGCACUGUUUAAUGAUCAGAACUGUGUUCAGGAGGGUUCUGGCUGCCAUUCAUCCCACCGACAUUCCAGUUCCGUAGCCAUUCAUCCCCAGUGUUCUAUUCUAGACUUCAGUUAGAAUGUCAUCCCACCGACAUUCCAGUUCCGUAGCCAUUCAUCCCCAGUGUUCUAUUCUAGAAUUCAGUUAGAAUGUCAUCCCACCGACAUUCCAGUUCCGGAGCCAUUCAUCCCCAGUGUUCUAUUCUAGAAUUCAGUUAGAAUGUCAUCCCACCGACAUUCCAGUUCCGUAGCCAUUCAUCCCCAGUGUUCUAUUCUAGAAUUCAGUUAGAAUGUCAUCCCACCGACAUUCCAGUUCCGGAGCCAUUCAUCCCCAGUGUUCUAUUCUAGAAUUCAGUUAGAAUGUCAUCCCACCGACAUUCCAGUUCCGGAGCCAUUCAUCCCCAGUGUUCUAUUCUAGAAUUCAGUUAGAAUGUCAUCCCACCGACAUUCCAGUUCCGGAGCCAUUCAUCCCCAGUGUUCUAUUCUAGAAUUCAGUUAGAAUGUCAUCCCACCGACAUUCCAGUUCCGUAGCCAUUCAUCCCCAGUGUUCUAUUCUAGAAUUCAGUUAGAAUGUCAUCCCACCGACAUUCCAGUUCCGUAGCCAUUCAUCCCCAGUGUUCUAUUCUAGAAUUCAGUUAGAAUGUCAUCCCACCGACAUUCCAGUUCCGUAGCCAUUCAUCCCCAGUGUUCUAUUCUAGAAUUCAGUUAGAAUGUCAUCCCACCGACAUUCCAGUUCCGGAGCCAUUCAUCCCCAGUGUUCUAUUCUAGAAUUCAGUUAGAAUGUCAUCCCACCGACAUUCCAGUUCCGUAGCCAUCUAGAACCCUUUUUCACAUUUCCUUCUCCCAUUGUAAAAUAAAUAACUCAGGGCUGUGCUGUUUAAAUCUGUACCUGUAUAUUGGGAUUUGAAACAUGUUCUUGGUUUUAUAUGUGAUUAGUAGUUCAUACAUGUCUGGGAAAGUUUGAAAAUGUUGCGUGAUCCAUUUUUAUAUUUCAAUAGAUGUUGAAAUAGUAAUGUUGUAAAUAUAGUUUGAUCAAAAUUGUGUGUGUGUGUAAAUUGGUACCAGUAUAGAGUGUGUUGGUACCAGUAUAGAGUGUGUUGGUACCAGUAUAGAGUGUGUUGGUACCAGUAUAGAGUGUGUUGGUACCAGUAUAGAGUGCGUUGGUACCAGUAUAGAGUGCGUUGGUACCAGUAUAGAGUGUGUUGAUUUGUUUAACAGUCUUUUGUACAAGUUUGAAAGUUAAUUUGUGUGCGAUUUAAAAAAAAAAUGUAUUUGAAUUAUUUUUAGGUUUUCUUUUUGGGGGAAUAAAUGUUAAAUUUUGUCCUUCAUUUUA